ensembl:lncRNA
CUGGUGGCCCUGGGCAGGUUCCCUACUCUGCUUUCCUCUCGGUGGCAUUUUGUGCCCAAGCUUAAGAGGCUCUGUGUCUUCCCGCUUCUAGCUCCAGGUUUCAGAUAGAGCAGUUUCAGGAACUGUUUGGUGAGUGAGUGAGUGAGUGAAGGGAAAGUGAAUACUGAUGUCUCCUCUGUCACCUUAGACCUUUCUCUCAGGGCCUCUCAGCUCAUUGCUCUGCCCUCCUUUUCCUUCCCAGGUUGUCUUGUCAAAGAGGGGAAAUCCCACACGGGAAGCCGAUGUUCCAGCCCCUGCUGGAGGAGAAGUCCCAAGCCCUGGGAAGGCUACAACCUCAGUUCGGGUGCAUUUUGUUUGCUGACAGGAGAAUGUUCUUCCUAUGGUGGGGAAGGGAUUUCAGUUCGAGUAACUCAGAUGUUGAGCAUCAGCCUCUAGGUCCUAGAAACAUCAGGCAUGGCCUCUCAGAAGCGAGAGCGGCAACCUCCAGUGUAAUGGCAGCCACGUUUGCCCUUUCUGGCAAAUACACACGGACUUUCUGUUGUGAUUAGGAACUAGGCCCUGAGCAGAAAUAAGAUGUGGGGCUCAGGUGGGAGGGAAGAGGUGGUCAUUAGGAUGACCCUUAGGUCAGGGCUUGGUGGUGGAUGGAACCACCCUCUGAAAGAGCUAGGUAACAGGGAGAGGAGGAGAUUGACAGGUAGGAAGUGAGUUCUAGUAAAAAUAUUGGGCUUGAAAAGACAAGGACACAAAACCCAUAGAAAAUGCUGCAGGCUUCCAGUCAUAAGGAUUAGUGAGGCAUACUGAUGUGAGUUUCUAAUGCCCAAAUUGUGGUUUGAAAUAAUAAUUUUCUACCCACAGAAACCAGGGCUUCUUGGAGAAAUGGCUUGAGUAAUAUCCAGAAGUGGGCCAGGAAAUGUGUGAAUUCACCCUGAAAUAGCCUGUCACACCAGAUGGUGAGCAAGGUCUCCAAAUGACAAGGAUCCUAGGAUCAUGUCCAAAGGACUCAGGAGCUCAGUAGUGAAGGGUGGCAUUUCUGCUAAGUCACACGUGUCCUCCAGCAUCUGUGAAUAUGGUCAUAGCUCCCUCACUGGCGAGCGCCGCACUCAGUUCACUCAAGACGACACCCUUUUGCAGCAGGUAUUGGCAAUUUGAUCUCUGGUUCCUCUGCCUUUUCUAAAUCCAGCUGGAACAUCUGGAAGUUCACUGUGGCUGUAUCAUAUACAAUUUCAUAGGUAAUGCUUUCAUUGGUACUGAUCUCUAAAAUGUCAAAUUUCCCUCGUGAUUUCCUAAUUUUUAAAGGUGCACCUUUAUCUAGAGUUUUGGCUUUUUUUCAGGAAUAG